UGCAGAGAUAUGAGGAAGAGAGGCCUUGUAUGAAGAUUAAGAGUCUUAUUUGGUAGCCAAGGAUGACUUGCCUAAAUCCACUCCAAGUGUUAAUUUCUAUGUUUGAGAGUACUGAAUCCGCGUCUUAGAAUUGGAGAAAAUUUAGUCUUAUUUUUUCUUCAAUUCUAAUUACAAUGUCCCGAUUCGAUACUCUUAAACGUAACAUAUCGAGUGUUGUGGUUUCUAGGGAGUCAACCUUGGCUAACCUAAUUGUCUCUUAUAUUUCAUGCUAGGCCUUCUUUUCCAUGCGUGAAGUAGCAAUGUCAUCAUCUUAGUCAGUUCUCCCAAUGAAGUGCAUAAGCAUCUCCAUUGAAACACAGAAGGCAGAAGAAAAAUCCAAUGUGCUCUCUCGCAAGUGCCUUUACAAUCGAAGAGAACCGGAGAGAGGCCAUCGUCAAAGAAGCUUAGCCGUUCUGGCCAUAUUCUCGUGUCUAAGACUUUAACGAACACCACGUUAGGCCAGAGCUGAGGAUUUAAAGUGAAGAGUGCGAUGGUAUGUGAUUUGCAGGGGUGAAGACGAGAGAUUGGAGCAAAGAAAAGAAACUACGUGUACGUUUUUAAAUUGAGCUCCAUAAGUUAGAGUUAGUAUUAAAUCAGUAUUAAAUGUUUUUUUAGAGUA